GAAAUUCUAGUUGAAAGUCCAAAAUCGCCAGAUUUCACGAUGAAUACGAUGGCUCUAAAAAUAUGCUCUUUCAAUAUUCUUCCGCUAGAUGGCAGCACGGCAGAGAUGAUUUUGAUAUCGUCGUGAGCGCCAAUUUGUGUGAGAAAGAGAGGAGAGGGAGAGAGAGAGGGGAAAGGGAGAAAGAGAGACAGAAAGAAACUUGUUUAUACCCAGCAACAUGUCUAAAAUCAAGACAUAAGACGUCUUAAAGAUAAUCUUUAAGACGCCUUAAAGACAUUUAUACGUAAAUCGUCUGAAGAUAUCUAAAAGAUGAUCUUUAAGAUCUUAUGUCCCGAUUUUAGACAUAUUAUCUGGGUAUUGACACGAAAGGUUAUGUUUGUUCGAUGCUGUCGUCAGCGUUGAUGAUAAUCAAUUUUCUCUUUCCUGUGCGAGGAUUACAAUCCAGUCUACAGUGGUGAAUACGUAGUAUAAACGAAACGAAUCGAGGAAACGACGAAGUUUUCUAGCCGACGAUGCGAUAAAGAAAUUAAAUUGGCAAGCGAUAAAGAAAUUAAAUUGGCUGCAUGCUAAUUUGGGAGACAGCGGACAAAUCGUUGAUACUGCUGAUGCACUGUUUACGAGCAGAGAAGGGCAGAAAUAUCGCCAUCGCUCUCGUGGAAACAUUAAUAAACCACGAGGUAUGACUAAAUGGAUUGGAAUUUUUUAUAGCGCUGGCAGUAUAAAUCAGAUAUUUUUAUACUUGUAAUACCUGUGUACACAAACUUGCGAGUAUUAACACCCAUAAUGAAAGCAACUUUUAUUUACAAAAUGACUGAAUAUGAACGGACGAACGAGGUAAAGUUGGCGCAUAUAAUUAAGAGUCAAUAGGAGGGCUGUGGAGACCUCUCGCGGAGACUCCGAAAUUACUAACUAGAAUACAUAUUUAAUGUGUGACUUUUUUAUCCUGCGCUACUAGGCAAUUGAACCUAGUACUAGUGCAGCUGCAUACUGCUGUAUAAAAAUGUACGAUCAACAGGAUCGUGGCGGGCAUUAACACAUAGAAGAAGACGAGAAGAAUGUUUAUUUUAUAUUUGGUCCAAAGCUAAGAUCUCCUUGAAAUCACUAAUGGAAUCACUAAUGGAAACCGCUAGUCUUUCGACAUCGAAAGCGCGAAUACGACAGGAAACGUUGCCGUGACAUGUCGUGACUGAUGAACCAUAUCUUACUCUUAAUCCGUCGAAUCCGGGUCGAUGUCGGCUUCAUGCGAUUAAAGGUUCGUUCGGUUGCCCUUUCUGCUCAGAGAGUAGAGUGGAUUUAAUUACAGGCAGAUCGCGCUUAAUCCAAGCUUUAUCGACGCUCGGACGAUCACCAUUGGAGGAGCGUGGAGUUGUUAUCUACACGAAAAGAAUAUUAUAUGAAAAAAUAUUACAUGCAGCUUUCUUUCAUAUGAAUACCUUUCAAUAUUAACAUAUCAAUAUUAAUAUACAUUUCAAUGUUAACAUAGUAUAACAUGUUUAGUAGAAUGCAGGAAUAAAUUAUGAGUGGAGAAUUUACUUUGCUAAGAAACACAAUGGUAAAUUUUUUAUUAGUUUCGAAAAUAUAAAUAUAUAUAAAACGGGAAGAUAAUAAAUUAAGGCAGAAUGUCAGUCAAUGUUCCUCGAGAUUAUAAAGUUCUAUAAUUAUCUUUAUUGUAAAAUUCCUUCCGUGAAGCCACUCACUACGAUGUAUAGCGAGAGAUCGUUCCUAUUUCUUUUCAUAUUUUAUCCGAA